rnacentral:rRNA from 1 species
UACGUAGGGUGCGAGCGUUGUCCGGAAUUACUGGGCGUAAAGAGCUCGUAGGUGGUUUGUCGCGUUGUUCGUGAAACUCACAGCUUAACUGUGGGCGUGCGGGCGAUACGGGCAGACUGGAGUACUGCAGGGGAGACUGGAAUUCCUGGUGUAGCGGUGGAAUUGACGCAGACUAUCAGGAGGAACACCGGUGGCGAAGGCGGGUCUCUGGGCAGUAACUGACGCUGGAGGAGCGAAAGCGUGGGAGCGAACAGG